rnacentral:rRNA from 1 species
GGAGGUGGCAAGCGUUGUCCGGAAUUAUUGGGCGUAAAGCGCGCGCAGGCGGUCCUUUAAGUCUGAUGUGAAAGCCCACGGCUCAACCGUGGAGGGUCAUUGGAAACUGGGGGACUUGAGUACAGAAGAGGAAAGCGGAAUUCCAAGUGUAGCGGUGAAAUGCGUAGAGAUUUGGAGGAACACCAGUGGCGAAGGCGGCUUUCUGGUCUGUAACUGACGCUGAGGCGCGAAAGCGUGGGGAGCAAACAGGGAUUAGAUACCCUGGUAGUCCACGCCGUAAACGAUGAGUGCUAAGUGUUAGGGGGUUUCCCGCCCCUUAGUGCUGCAGCUAACGCAUUAAGCACUCCGCCUGGGGAUACGGCCGCAAGGCUG